rnacentral:rRNA from 1 species
UACAGAGGUCCCAACCCGUUGUUCGGAUUUAUUGGGGCGUAAAGGGCUCGUAGGCGGCCAAACUAAGUCAGACGUGAAAUCCCUCGGCUUAACCGGGGAACUGCAUCUGAUACUGGAUGGCUUGAGUUCGGGAGAGGGAUGUGGAAUUCCAGGUGUAGCGGUGAAAUGCGUAGAUAUCUGGAGGAACACCGGUGGCGAAGGCGGCAUCCUGGACCGACACUGACGCUGAGGAGCGAAAGCCAGGGGAGCAAACGGG